CUGAGCCCAAGAGCAGAAAGCAGGCUGUUUUCUCUAACUCUGAAGCAUUUUGCAGCAGGCAAAAAUCCAAACUCUGCUGCCCAGAUUUUCAGUGGCAUCCUAUCCAUCUCAGAAUGUUGCAAUCCUUUGAUCCUGAGAACUCUGGCUGUGCCACAAACACACUAGUGAAAAUAAUCUCUGUGAGCGACUGAGACCAACCAAGUCUCGCUCAUUUGGAGUGAGGGACUUCUUCAUUUUGGAUUGCUAUUUGGCAGUUUUGAAAGUAUGCAUGUAUAAAGGACAAAGAUUCCUGCCUCAGAAAAUUUACAGUCUGAUUUAAAUGGCUACUAAUGCAGGGUGUGAUAAGGUUUUGACUGCAUGUGCUGCAAUAAGACUUUUAAAUAUCUCUUUCAAAACCUGUCUCAGAUUCCCUACCUAUUAAAUGGAGAUAACAAUAUAUGUUUCAGAGGGGGCUGUAAGGAUUCAUUAGUGGUUCUCACAGUGCUCUGAAAUUAUACAUAAAUCAUAAGUGUUAAGCUGC